ACAUAAAUCACAGAAGUAACUUGUAACAAUCUUGUUUGAAUGUUACAGGGACAGAUGAGCACACACAUGUGCUUAUCCGGUGGAGAGUGGCUAAUGAGGCCCUCUUCACCGGAAAACGAAAUGCAGCCAUCAAAGGCUUUGAAGCUUUUGUGAUGGAGCAGGGCCUGCAAGACAGGGUGACGGCGGCCUUUGU